UUGCGAUCUCGGGCGACCACCAGAACGCAC
rnacentral:sRNA from 1 species